UACGUAGGGUGCGAGCGUUAAUCGGAAUUACUGGGCGUAAAGCGUGCGUAGGCGGUUCGCCAAGUCAGGUGUGAAAUCCCCGGGCUUAACCUGGGAAUUGCGCUUGAAACUAGCGGGCUUGAGUGUGGCAGAGGGGGGUGGAAUUCCACGUGUAGCAGUGAAAUGCGUAGAGAUGUGGAGGAACACCGAUGGCGAAGGCAGCCCCCUGGGUCAACACUGACGCUCAUGCACGAAAGCGUGGGGAGCAAACAGG
rnacentral:rRNA from 1 species